CUUUCUUAAGUGAGAAAAACGUUUCGUUCAGAAAUUUUACAAAUAAAACCCUAUGGUUUCAGGGAUUCAACCCGCAGUCCUCGGAUACAAAUCGGUUUCUGGUCUGUAGAUCGUGCGGCGGCGCUCCCGAUCCCCGAUCCGAUCGGGAGCAGGACGACGGCGGCAGAGCUCCGGGAGGCGGGGAACGACGGGGAAGUGGCGGAGGUCGGGAUCCAUCCCGGCGGUUCAUAGUGGUGGCCGGCCGCGGCGGCGCUCCUGAUCCCCGAUCCGAUCGGUAGCAGGAUGACGACGACAGAGUUCCGGGAGGCGGGGAAGUGGCGGAGGUGAGGAUGCAUCCCGGUGGUUCGUAGUGGAGGCCAGCGGCAGCGGCGCCCCAUGGCUGUGGCGACUCGGUCUUCUGGGAAGAAGAUACGAGGGAGGGAGACGAGGUGAGAUGGAGAGAACGGAAGGGAGAAUACGGACUGCGCGGCUACUUGCUGCUGGUCCAACGGCGGCUCCAGUCAUCGGAUCAGGUUUUGUCCGGAUUCCUCUCCUCCCCGCAAAAAAGGUAUGCCAUGUCGUUGUUAAUUGCUAGAGACGCUCUUCAUAAGUUCAGCCUGUGGCCAACAGCAACCUCCAGGUCACCUGAGAAUUCAGUGGCAUAGGCAUGCUCUCGCCUGAUUAAUUUUGUAUUGAAGAUUUUUCUUUGGCGUGUGGGCAGCACCCAUCAGUGUUAGAGUACAUGUUCAAUAUACAUAACAGCUUCUCUGGUGACUUACUCAUCUAAUGGUUAGAUACAAUUUUAGCAACAGUGAAUAGACGCAUGAUACGUUUAUCUGCUUCUGAAUGUUCAUAAUGUUUAAACGAUUCAAUUUUUAAAUGAUUUUGCUUUAGAAGUUGAAUCUGCACAUCGACUAUAUGCUCCAACACUGCAGGCCAACUCUUGAUGGAUUUCCAAUGUGUUGCUGGCCUCCCAAUUUUUUCCGUCGUGCAGCCGCUCCCCGUCUCCCUGCGUCGUCCCAAGAUGGUCCGGCCGGGUGCUGCCCUGACAGCCGAGCGUGUGCUAUCCACGGAACACGGCUCCUCCACCCAGGACCUCCUCCGCAACGCCGGCGAGGACACUACUUCGUCCGAACCGAUCAUCACGACCACGCGCAGGUACACACACAUGUGCUCCCUGCCACCCCUGCACUGAUUUAAGGCGAAAUCCAAUUGGGGGGUAUUGAUAGGCACCAAUGUAUUCUUGAUUGAGUUCCCAUUUCUUGAAUUACGUUGAUCCUUUUGGUAAGAUCAAACCGAACAAACUGAACAUCACUUGCCCAAACAAGCUGAACGUCAUGCUACAUUAUUGCAAAUCAGUUGCCAGGACUUUGUGUUCUUUGUACAAAACAGCCAAGACCUCGAUCACUUAUUUGUAGAGCACAAGCGAAGACACUGCUAGAUAAAUGUCUUCCCAAGCUAAAGGCUCAUGGCUCCGAAGUACUAAUAUUCUCUGAGGACCACCAUAACAUGUGAAAAAUUCGAAGAGCUUUGUGAAGAUUUGUGGGAGCGGCUCUGACUACCAAUUAAGGAAGUCCCACGCAGCGGGCGUGAAGAUUGGUCACAUAUAUAUGUAUAGUAGAGCUGAUUGAGGACUUACACGGCACCCAAACUGCAGGUGAUUAUACUCUUCAUUGAAGACUUAUACUUUGAGGGGCUGUAAUGGUAAUGCAGGAAUGUUGCAUCGUUCCUAUCUACCAUCGACCAUCAUUACUUACUUUUGUUGUUCUUCUUGCUAUUGGCUGGUAGCUUUUAGUAGCAAUUUGGAUAAUUUUGUGCAUAAUAUUCUGUCUGAUUUUGGGGCCAGAAAGGUCGGGGAUUCUGCUGUGGGUGGAUCAUGGCCUCCAGAACAAUGCACACUAUAUAGUAGCCUGAGCAAGUUGUGGGCGGUGCCUUCAUAUGGUUGUUAAAUUGCUGCUCUUUUUCUAUAUGGAUUAAUGCGAAGCACCUCAAAUUUCUCGUUGAAGAACAUAUGUUUCUUUUUGUUCGAUUUGAGUUCUUGCUCUCCCAGUUCAGAACAUUUAGGACGUGAUUUUGGAGAAACUUCGAGAGUAGGAAUAAGUCACCCGUCGUAUUCAACUUUGUAAUUAAAAUGAUUUAGAGUAGGAACCAGAGCUGAGAUUGUUACUUUUUAUGUAAUAAAACGGGUGCUAUAUCAAAUGAUUUUUUUUCACAAAGGUGGGGAUUCAACUCUGUCGCUAGAAAAUGGCUAGAGCGUACUUGAAUUGUUGAAAACGUGGAUCAGGUCCUAUAGUAGCUAUCUUUGAUUUACAACCAGAGUACACUUAUAAUUAUAGGAUGAAACUUUAUAUUAUUUUGCCAUCUUAUUUCGUUUGUAAAAGUAGCUGCAACAACUAGCAGUUUAAAUUGAUGCAUGCAUGCAUAAUAUAGACAACUAAUUAAUUAGCUUUUCAAUAUUAUCUGUCACUCCACUAUUUAUCUGUUUCUUCAGUGUACAUGCACGAUAUUACAUGAUUAAACAUACCAUUUUUUAACUUCAUUUAGUUGUCUAUAUUAUGCUCUAUGUGCUAUUACCAACAACAAAAAAGUGUUACCUCUGUACCACGCCUACCAAGCGUCUUAUAUUUUGGUAUGGAGGUAGUAUUUUUAGCCUGCAAAGCGACUCCUAUGCCCAGUGUGGCAAUAAUGUGUCUGCACCAGUGAAGAGAGAACUUGUUUUUUUACAUUGUAAGAAACACGUUUUGUUUCUUCCCCAUCAUUUAAGUGUGUGCCAUGUUACUUUUGUUCAUGUUGCUGAAUGUACAUUUUCAGUAUUCUCAGUAUAUAUCUGAUUAUGAUGAUGUUCCAUACUGUUCUGGAGCCGACAACUUUUUGGACUGCUCGAUGUUUAUAACCAAUGAGACUACUUUUUUGGUUGUUGGCUGGAGCUAUCACUAUGACUGAAAUUUUCUUUUCACCCAAGUAAAUUUAUAUGGUCAUCAAAAACCAACGACAGGUCAACACUUGACAGCAGUUUGCAAUUUGUAUUACAAUAUGCCUAAGCCAAUGGUCAAAUAAUGUUGUUUUAGUUAGGAAAUGUAGAAAACGUGGUCAUGAUUUAUGUAGAUUGGACAGUCCCUUCAAACUGCAGUCUUCGAUCUUGAGUGGACAGUCUAACUAUAUGUUUCCUAGAAAAUUGACUAUAGGUUCCAUGAAUUGACUGAUUAUUUUGGCCUGAUCAGAUUAUACUAGGUCUUGAUUUGAAGGUCCAGUUAAGGCAGCUGGUGCUGAUUUAUUUGUUGUAACACUAACUAUGUUAUUUAGACAACGACAUGUGGUCUUUCUCAUUCCUCGACAUUUUCCUUUGCUACCAAGAUUUUUCAUUCUAGGUUGUGGAAAAACGGAUGUAGCAUUCCUUCUACAAGUUGUCAUGAGCUGGGACAUAGAAGAAGAGAGCCGACGAGAAGUCGCACAACGGUUCGCUCCGGUGUCGCUGCCAAUGGUGCUGCGCAAAGUGCGGAUUGCAGGCUAGAUGCGUAUGAGUCCGUCCCUACGUCCAUGACGUGGAAGCAAAGGAAAUCGAUACAAUUAGAUAGUAUAUUUGGUUAUGAAAGUUGUCUUUUGUGUAGGCAGUUUUGCCAUUAUUUUGUAAAAGCUUUGAGUUUUUGGUAAUGUACUUGUCUUACUAAUCACACUUUUAACCAAUUCGUGCCAAGGCUAAUAGCCAAGUUCUGCACAAA